AUACUUAUCUGGCAGGGGAGAGACCGUGGUCACGAAGGUGGUUUUCCCAGGGCAAGGCUUAUCCCCUGCACUCCAGAUGUGCUGAUCCCUGCGAGUUUUUUUAAAGAAUAAAACCUUUUGCUUUUACUGUAAUAAUUUGGCUAUUACAGU
ensembl:snRNA U1 U1 spliceosomal RNA